GGAGGGAUGGCUGAGUGGCCGAAAGCGGCGGUCUUGAAAACCGUUGGACGUUCACGCGUCCCGUGGGUUCGAAUCCUACUCCCUCCGCCA
rnacentral:tRNA from 1 species